AGGGUUGGGGCUCUGUUUAGGUCUGGGUUGUCCCAAUGCCACUUAAGGAGAUGGGAUUUAUAUUCAGCAUGAAGGAGGAAGCACAGUUUGGGGCAAGAGGAGCUAAUGAGCUGUUUUCACAGCAUUUAAAUGCAGGCUGCCAAAAUGUACGUGUUCGCUUUGUGUGUUUCCCAAAAUGUCUGUGGUCUGAUUUGAGGCUCAUGUGGGCUCAGAAAUACUGACAGAUAUCCAAUAUUUCAGGCCAGAUCUAUGAGCGUUGGGGUCAUCACAUCUUGUAACUUAUUUCCCCUGUUUCCUCACUUUAACGCCGGUUGUUUUAUCUGCACUUUGUUCCUACAGGGAGCUGUUGUAGGAGGGGCUGAGGGUAAUUGUAACAUUUUUCACAUUUUCCUUUAUAUCUGACAGAUUACUCGAAUACACUUGUCAACUUUCUAAGAAGAAACACAUAUAUGCACAGGUCAUUAAAGCUAUCAAUAGGGCUGGGCGAUAAACAGCAAAUUUACCGAUACAGAAAUUUUUGACAAUAACCGGCGUCAUUUUGCCCAUGUCAGUAUAUUUGGUGGCGAAGAAAUAAAUAAAUAAAAGUUGGUUUUGGAUGUGUGUAGGUAGGCAGUAGUUCUUCUGCCUUAGAACAAGGAGGGAAAGACAGGUGAGGAGAUGGAGGAUGGUUCAAAAGUUGUAGCGGCUGGAGCGACGGCUGAAGUAGACAAACUUAAAGGGAUAUUCCGGCGUAAAAUUAAUUUAGGGUCAAACACACGUAACACAGAGUUAGACAUCCCCCCGAAAAAUGAAUGUUGCUGACUGCUUGCCUCUCUAGUUAUACCAACAACCAUAAACAAACCUCAGCCAAAACACCACUCUAUAGCCACAAAUAAUGUUCAGAACAGCACCUAACUUCAUCAACAGUACGGGUCCCAGCCACAAUUCGAGACUAAACACAACUCACCUACUCCCUUCCAGCAGCCGCUUGUUUGUAGCGAGACCUCGGGCCAGUCCAUUACGGACUAUAGCAGGGUGACGCAGCUGUAGGAAGAAUAUUUAUGAUCAUUACUUUAUCAUUUCCUUGAAGUAAUAAUCAUCAUAUUAAUCAUUUUGCACUGCAGACGCAGUAGUUCUUCUGCCUUAGUGUCUUGGUCUGAUUGUAUUUUCAUGAAAAAAUGAUGCAAAAUGAUACAAAUGUAAGCGGUCGGCAACAUUCAUCCCUCGAGGGGGUGUCUAACUCAUUACGGUGUAGUUAUCAUUCAUUUAUCGUUAUCAAGGUGAACUGCUCAAUAUACUGUGAUAUUGAUUUGAGGCCAUAUUGUCCAGCCCUAGCUAUCACUGUGUUUCGGCUAAUUGAGACAAAACUAUUCACUGCAGAGAGAAAACUCAGUGUUACAAAUGUCUGCAUCAACUCAAUUAAUACAAAAGAAUUUAAUAAAAAUUGUAUUUUAAUCCCACAAAUUGAUCAGCCAAUGAGUAAUGGAGUAUGUAAUGGUACAAUGUAGGCAGGAUGAGAUCACAUGGGGCAAUAUUCAUCAAAUUUAUUACAAGAGAAGAAGCACAAUCUGUUUUUAUUUAAUUAAAAAUGUUUUAAAAAAAAACAUUGACAACAUCUUCAACAUCACAAGUUUGAAUUGACAGUCGUCUAAACUGAAAACAGCAGAAACUAAAUACUGCAUGACUGAAAACUAAGUUUUACACUUAAAAACGACUUUUUUUGUUCAAAACUCCCCCCGGGGUGAAGUGAUCUCACUAUUUCUAAGCCAGCAGAAGAAGAAUCCAACUGACCUUGAGCAGAAUCAGUGUUGUAACAAUAACAGCCUUUUUUUUUUUUACUGGAGACUCUGAGUGUGUAACAAAUGCCAACUUUUACAAUUGCCCUUGGUCAUGAAACAGUUCUGCAAUAUCGCUUUGUGCCAGACACAAAAAGAGCGCCAGAUGUGAGCCAAGAGCUGAAGAUAGACUCACAACACUGGACCAUUAUGGGUCGCAGUCGAGAAAUACACAACCUUUAUCAGGUCGUGUGAAUGGCGCUAUUGAAACAUAGACUGUUUUGUAUGAUGGCCUUCUUAAGUUAAAGAUGGAGAACACAAUCCUGUUUGAAUUUGACUCUUUACCUUGUUGAGUGCAAGCUUAUUUUUCAUGAAGUUUGCCAGCAAGUCUGCUUUUGUAAAUGAGUUAGCAAACACAAGCUAUACUUCAGUUUUUAUUCAGUUUUCAUCAAAAUCAUUCUGAUUAAAGAAUCCGUCUUUGCUAUUUGCUUUAUUUUAUAGUGUCCCUAGAAUAUCUUCACCCCGACCAGGAAGAAAUAAAUAGAUGAGAAUGAUCCAUUUUUUUUUCGAUCCAAUCCGAUACCGAUACCUGGGCUGAGCGUAUCGGCCGAUACUGAUCCAAUACUACUGUUGAAUAAAUGAACCGUAUACCUUGCCCUGUGAGUGACAUUAGCCUUAUUAAAAAAAGGUAACAAAUUAACACAGAUAUAAAUGUACUUAACAAAUAAAAAUUGCACAUUAACACACAGCAAAAAGAAGUAAGACUUCCAUGUAAAAAUUUAGUACAAAAGGAUAGACAAACAUAGAAUUUAGAGCGAACAAAAUCGCUGUGUUGCUGUGUAUGAUAUUAAUUAAAAGAAAACAAAGACUAGAUCGGAAUGCUGGAUCGGCGUCAUUCAUCAGAUAUCCGAUCCAGUUAAUUUGUCAACAUCGGAGUCGAUAUCUGAUCCAAAUUUCUGAUCGGUGCAUCCCUAGAUUUGGUGUUUACAUGGAUGUAGGUCCAGAUAACAGACACUGAAACUACCCCUCUUGAUUGGACUAAAUUGUCUUUUCUAAUGGGCCAUAUUGGGUCAGUCUUUCCAGAUGGAGGUGCUUACGUGACUUUUCGGAUCAUUAGUAGUCCUUGUAAAUGCAGCUGCAGCAGCUCUUAAUGGGUUACACAACAUGAUCCAAGUUAAGUAGCAACAGGUGGAGUUUGUGCACUCUGACUUUUUGCCUUUCCCUCUCUAUGUCUGAGGUCUAUUUACCACUUUUAAGGUCCUUGUCUCAGCUACAGUUUGAUUAAUAUUUCUUGCUUGAAUAAUGCUGUUUACCCUUAGGUAGCCGUCUCGCUGUCAUAUUGCCCAGUAUUUAAUGUUCUUUGAAGUAAUAAGCACUUUAAUGAGUGUGGGAGGUAGCGCCUCUGAAAGAGCUCUGUGGGGAGAGUGUUUUUGUCGGGCUGUUGGGUUUAAACAUCAGCCAUCAGCCAUCGAUCCUCCUCCAGAGUUGCUCUCCCAUCUUUUAAAUUUUGUAGAAAUGCAGGAAUAAAGUCGACUGAUUCCAAAACCUUGCGGCAACUACUUACAUUCAAGCCUCAGGGACCUUUUGUCAUCAUCAUGGCCUUAAUAAUUUCAAAUGAUAAAGGUCAGAAAAGAAUUAUAAUCCUCCAUGCAGAAUAUGUAGCUACAGUAUUUCUAUAUUUUCAGUGUGUCAAACAUUACUCUAUUAUCCUCUGUGUGAAAGGAAUAAAAGGUAAAAACACGAGAUUCAGUCAAAUGUAGUUAUUCUUCCUCUUCUGACUGUGACAUCUGCCUGCAUAGUGGAAGAAAGAGAGCGGCAAUGCCACAGGGCAGUUUAGAGAAAAAAGGUAAAUCAUAGAGAAGAUGUGCAGUUUAUCUCUUCCCUUGUCUGCGUGUUUCCCGCCACGGGGGAUGAAUGAGCUUCUUUAAAUAGCUCUGAUUAAUUAGAGGUUUUAAUUGGAAGGGUGUCUGCGGCUGCCGCUCUCACUCUUGUCUCCACCACUCAUUAAGGGGAGUGGUGCCCAUGUCAAAAGGACACCUGGCAUGGCUGACUCAACGCCACCAGCAAACUGUGCUCAGCCUCUGCCGUAUCGACGUGAGAAAAGCCUGAACCGUGGCUUCGGCCUCUUUUGUGUGUGACGCUGACAUUGCUGCAGGUGCCUCCACCGUCUUUCAAACACCGAUUCUGCUUUUCUCUUGUCUUUGUUCUUUCUACUGGGUUGCAUCACCACUCAUUUUCUCUGAAGAGUGAAUGAUUAACUCUCUUUAUAAACCCAUCUCUCUUGAGUCGGUCGUUUUGUUUAUUGCAUUGUUUUGCGUCACUUUUGGGCCCCACUUAGAGCGCCUCCAUUCACAUUAUUUAUCAAUGAAUUCUUGCCUCCCCUGUCUCUCUCCAAUAACUCUCAGUAAGACGCUUGUGAUGCACACGAUUAUUCGAACUUUAGGUAGAACUAUUACAGUGUGCCUCUGUGAGAAGGCUGUAAAACCAUAGAUUGUACAAAAACAUGGACAGUAACAGCUAUUCUAGGUGAAGCCACAACUUUCAGAGCUCCCCCUGGUGGCAGGCUGUAAGGCAGGUCUAAAAAUCUGCCUCCUGCUAUAUAACAGAUGAAAUAUGAGUUUAUAAGGCUUUAUAUGCAGGUGCUUACUUUUUGGGGAAGUUUGGUUUUGAGUAAGUAUUUGAUUUAAUGUCGAUGUUCGUGCUUUAUAGCUUGUUAGAUGACUUACAGCUCAAAAAUAUACCGUAUCUCAGGCUGGUGUCUUUGAAAACCCUAAUUUCAGCCUCUGUCUGAUACAUUUCAUUUUAACACUGUCCCCUCAAGGCCUUUGAAUCUGAUCCAAAAAGUGUGGAAAGGGAACAAGGAGAAAAUCGCCAGCAACAAAGUAAAGAGCAGGACGUUUCUGUUUGGUAAGUCCUAUGUUUAUUAUGUUUAAUUUGAUCUGGGAUUAAACAGUUGGUGACAUUGUGAUUGAGCAAAUCUUGUCACUCUUGCUUUGUUCUUGUGCGACUUUUUGAACAAGCUGUUCGGUCUAUCAGGAAAGGGGAGGAAGAACAGUGAACGAAUAUGUAACAAACACUAAUAUACGAGUCACUGAACGCUGUAGAUGUGUCCACUUCAUGAAUCUGUUAAGCUGUGGAUCAUACUGUUUUACCAAUGUUUCCCCUACACUCAUUCAUUACGUGCGCCGCUACUGAAAUUUCAUGUCUUGUCACUCUCCUGAACCGGGAAUAGCGACAGCAACGCAGUCAAAUCUACUUGGCACCCUUGCUGUCAUCUUUGGGUGUUGAAUAAGGGACCAUCGAUAAAUUACCAGUUGAUGUUCUCAGAAAAGGCUUUUUUCCUUCAAUAGCUUCCAUGUCAUGUGACCAAAAGACCUAAAAUUGAUUUUAAAUUGUACUAAGGUCUGACAAUAAAACACACUUCUUUAUUUCUCUAAUUUGUCCUCUAAAAAUUUUUGUGUGAAGUUUUAAGGCAAAUUUUGAACAUCUUCUUCAAUAGCUUUCAUGUCAUGUGACCAAAAGACCUGAAAUUGAUUUCAAAUAAUAGUACUUAUGUCAACAUUAUUUGAUACAUUUUCAUUGUGGCCCGAAGGUUCUUGGUGUGCCCCUUACCUUUUAACUUAAGAGCACAAGUGCUCCUUGUGAAAAAAGUAAGUGUCAAGCCCUGACAGGGGAAAUUUCCUCACCACAACAGCCCUCCUCAAAACCUCUCUUUCCUCUAGUUCAUCACUUUGGUCCUUCUGAUUUGCCCCUCACUAACACAUUUUAACAAGAUCAUCUGUAAACAUCCGGGUGUUAAGUGUGAUUUAUCUCAGAGUUACAUACAAAAUUCUUGUGUCACUCACUCAUGGAAGUGUUUUGCCUUUUUUUGAAUAGAUGCUGAGUGCCUCAUUCAUAUAUUGAGUCCUAAACUGAAGUGGAAGU
rnacentral:lncRNA from 1 species